rnacentral:rRNA from 1 species
AUUGAACGCUGGCGGCAGGCCUAACACAUGCAAGUCGAGCGGAUGACGGGAGCUUGCUCCUUGAUUCAGCGGCGGACGGGUGAGUAAUGCCUAGGAAUCUGCCUGGUAGUGGGGGACAACGUUUCGAAAGGAACGCUAAUACCGCAUACGUCCUCCGGGAGAAAGCAGGGGACCUUCGGGCCUUGCGCUAUCAGAUGAGCCUAGGUCGGAUUAGCUAGUUGGUGGGGUAAUGGCUCACCAAGGCGACGAUCCGUAACUGGUCUGAGAGGAUGAUCAGUCACACUGGAACUGAGACACGGUCCAGACUCCUACGGGAGGCAGCAGUGGGGAAUAUUGGACAAUGGGCGAAAGCCUGAUCCAGCCAUGCCGCGUGUGUGAAGAAGGUCUUCGGAUUGUAAAGCACUUUAAGUUGGGAGGAAGGGCAGUAAGUUAAUACCUUGCUGUUUUGACGUUACCGACAGAAUAAGCACCGGCUAACUCUGUGCCAGCAGCCGCCGCAGUA